AAGGCUAGAAAGUUAGGGUGGAAGAAGCCCGCACGAGGUCUUAAGUACCAGGCUAAGUCUGAAGUUUGUUCCGUAGAAAUGAUGGCUGGGAACCAGGGAACCAGAUAAAGAAUAAGGUUGUAGUAAUGUGUACAGUGGAUAGAAAAGGAGAGGCUAGGUGGUCAGGGACACCGGUGGGCAAGGCCAGAGCCACAGCACCAUUGGUGAUAAAAGCCUGGAACCACCCACGGUGCCGGCAGGAGGAAUGGAGUGGAGAGAACAGUCUAAAGGUAAAAAUCAACAGGUGUUCAUUCGUCGGACGUUCGUGAGUGCUGAUCACCUGUCCAGCAUCAAAGGAGCUUCUGGGAGCACAAAAAUGAGGAAGAUAUAUAUUUUUUACCUAAAGGGAUGAAGUAGGGGAAAAGCAGCGAAGAGUUAAGGAUGACCUCAAGUCUCAGUCCUGGGGAAAGAGCAAGAGGAAGGACCACCAGCAGCAAACAGGCUAGAGGAAGAGGAGAGCGAACGUGCUCCAUGUCUGGGGGGGUGACGGAGGCAGAAGGAAAUGUGUCCGACAGCAGAAGCCGUGAGGGUAAGCAGAGGGAGAAGGCGGGCAGGGCGCGGCAGAACAUGGGAAGACAGGUUCCGUCACGAGGUCUCAUCACAGCGUUACGACAAGUCCUUGGGCGGGUUGGGAGGGUUAAAUGCAGAAGGUGGGAGAAGAACGAGGGAACACCAGGGCACGAAGCUGAAGAGAAUCUUGAGAGGGAGCAAACGCCAACACCGUGAGGUUGUGCGCUGGGAGAUCUGGCCUCUGAUCCCCUCUGCGCCUCACUCCCUCCGGCGGCAGGAAGGGUUAAGGCGAGUGAGCGCCACCACGAAGGCACGGGCCCGUCCUAAGAAGGCUGCUGAUCCCAGGACGUGAGACGCGUCAGAGCUAGAGAAGGUCCUUCUCUUUUGGAAUCACUUUUGGUGGUUUUUCUGUUUCCUCUAAAAAAGGAGGAAGUCAACAUGAUUAUCGGCUGGAGGAGGACAAAGCGGCUGAGAAAAUACUAAAGUAAAGAGAGACAGGGUCAGUAAUGACCCACAAGGAGGGUCAGCACUGGGACUGUAAAUGACAGGCGCACCUCGGGAAGCAGAGGGACAGUGGCUUCUGGGGGCCGGGACGAAGACAGAGGACCUCGCGGCGCUUUCACAGGAGGAACGGCGCUCACUGUGGCCUCCCCUCCCUGUGGAGGAGGAAGUGGAGCCAGGUCUAGAGUUCACACAGCGGGGAAGAGGUGAGAACAGACACCACUGAGACGAGCACACAGGAACGGUCAGAAAUGCUUCUCAAUUCCGAGAGCUUCAUAAGGACACAGGCAGGUUCCACAAGAGCAGAGACCCCACCCGGUCUUACUCAGCAGCACAGUGCCCGGCUUACAACAUCCUCUGUAACACUUGCUGUGGUUUCCAGAGAGGCUACACGCACAGAAACACAGAGCAAGGAACAAGCACGCAAGGUGGCAGGGGUCUACGGUGGGCUGAGUGGUGGCCCCUCAAAACUGCAUCCACACCCAGAUACCGAGCACCUGCGACGACAACCAAGUGUGGAGAGAGUCUGUGCGGAUGGGAUUAAGCCAAGGAUCUUGAGAUAAGAUCAUUCUGGAUGACCUGGGCCGGCCCUAAACCCCAUGACAGUGUCCUUACCAGAGAGAGAAGACCCACAGAGGGAGAAGCCACCUGGAGACGAGGGAGAGGCUGCGGGGAUGCAGCCACAAGCCCGGGACACCUGGCGCCUCCAGGAGCCAGGAGAGGCAGACGGAACCUCCCAAGAGCCUCUGGAGGGAGCGCAGCCCCCCGGCCACCUCGCCCUCAGACUGCCCCCUCCAGAACCUGAGAGAAUAAACUUCUGUCAUUUUUAAGGCC